rnacentral:rRNA from 1 species
CAAUAGCGUAUAUUUAAGUUGUUGCAGUUAAAAGCUCGUAGUUGGAUUUCUGCUGAUCGCUGUCGGUCUGCCGUCAGGUGUGUACUGGCAGUGUUUGGCAUCUAUUCGAGAUUGGGUGUCCACUUGAUUGUGUGCACUCGAUGUCGGAGCUAAUACUUUGAGAAAAUUAGAGUGUUCCACGCAGGCGCGUGCCUUGAAUACUGCAGCAUGGGAUAUUGGAAGGCCGAUUGAGCUUUCUUGUUGGUUCUCGGUUUGAUCGGAAUGAUUAAUAGGGAUAGUUGGGGGCAUUCGUAUUCAACUGUCAGAGGUGAAAUUCUUGGAUUUGUUGAAGACGGACUACUGCGAAAGCAUCUGCCAUGGAUGUUCUCAUUGA